GGACUUGCGACCCAGGUGUAGGUUUAAGGAGGCCCCCUUUGAGAUACGUAUCAACGCUCACCUUCACCGCUCGAGUUAUACGCCCCGCCUAGUCAAAUUAAUCGUAAUAGGUAACAAUUAAUUCGUUUGCACAAAUUAAUUAUUGAAUGAGUCUAGGUUAAGCUACUAGUAGGAUACAACAAGUGUAUCGUGCCAAGCCAGAGCCAAGACUGCCUUAGCUGAGGUGACACCGUUCGUUUUAUACACGUCAGAACAAUUCGAGUAAUAUAAUAACUGAG
rnacentral:misc_RNA from 1 species